GUCCAACGUUAAUCGGGGCAGGGUGAGUCGACCCCUAAGGCGAGGCCGAAAGGCGUAGUCGAUGGGAAACAGGUUAAUAUUCCUGUACUUGGUGUUACUGCGAAGGGGGGACGGAGAAGGCUAUGUUGGCCGGGCGACGGUUGUCCCGGUUUAAGCGUGUAGGCUGGUUUUCCAGGCAAAUCCGGAAAAUCAAGGCUGAGGCGUGAUGACGAGGCACUACGGUGCUGAAGCAACAAAUGCCCUGCUUCCAGGAAAAGCCUCUAAGCAUCAGGUAACAUCAAAUCGUACCCCAAACCGACACAGGUGGUCAGGUAGAGAAUACCAAGGCGCUUGAGAGAACUCGGGUGAAGGAACUAGGCAAAAUGGUGCCGUAACUUCGGGAGAAGGCACGC
rnacentral:rRNA from 1 species